rnacentral:rRNA from 1 species
UACGUAGGGUGCGAGCGUUGUCCGGAAUUACUGGGCGUAAAGAGUUCGUAGGCGGUUUGUCGCGUCGUUCGUGAAAACUUGGGGCUUAACUCCAAGCGUGCGGGCGAUACGGGCAGACUUGAGUACUACAGGGGAGACUGGAAUUCCUGGUGUAGCGGUGAAAUGCGCAGAUAUCAGGAGGAACACCGGUGGCGAAGGCGGUCUCUGGGUAGUAACUGACGCUGAGGAACGAAAGCGUGGUAGCGAACAGG